AGGACUGCCCAGGAGCUGCUGGGUUUGAGAUCCUGGUGCAGGGUGGCCUUAGGGCAAGUUCCAGCAUGGUGACCCUGAGUGUCUUCUUCAGCCCUGAGGUGGAGAGAAAUCUGUGGUGCAAAAGGAUCAGGAAGUGACUUUUAAGCUGUUCAACCCCCUCAGUCCUUGACAUCCCCAAAGAUAAAACCAGGAGCUGGUUACAGGUUGUCUCAUGCUGACAUGUGCCUCCUGCUUCCCCUCCUGCCGGCUGGGACAGUGACACUGGGAGAGCUGCUAGACCUGGGUGUGCUCCAGACCUUCCCAACGUUUCCCAUCCUCCGAGCCCAUCGGAUGCCUGCGCCAGCCCUGCACCAGAAACAGCUCACGCCUGGCCUGAGAGACCACACUUCCCUACAACUGCUGAAAUACUGAUGCUUAUUUUAGCACAUGAAGAGACUAUUAACUUUUGGCUUUAGCCAACUUAGCUAAGAAUCUGAGGGCUGUGGCAGCUCCACAGGGAGUUUUGUGCCAUCACUUCACUCCUCCUCACAUGAACAAUACCCCAGACUCAUUCCUCUCUCUGGUCUCAGCUGCAAGAUGUUGGCACAGGGAAAGGGCACCCGCUGCUGCUGAAGAACUCGCUGCCGGAUGGAUGGAAACCAAACAUCUUGAGUUCCACCUGGAGCCUCCGGCAGCGAAUGCAGGGCGCAGAGCAGUCGUGUGGUGGUUUCUCAUGGUAACACGUGGCUCGGUGAGCCCCUCUCCAGCUUUCUUACAGCUUCGCGAUGCUCAAAGCUUGACUUGUUACUCGCCUGGGCAUGAUGAUCAGUGAUAGACCAGAGGGGUCCCAGGGAUCCUGCCCAGCAAAUGAACACAGUGAGCUUUGCACCAGAGAAGAGGGAGCCAGUCUGCACGACCUGACAAGUGUCCUGUGCCUCGGGAUUUGGUUUAGCUGAUGGGCCAGAGAGCAAAGACACAAGUCCUGAGCGACUGGGGCUUUCCUUCGGAGCCUCAUGAACCAUGUGUUUGUGUGGAGGCAGAGAUUACAUAAAGGAGUGGGAGAUGGGGAGGUGUUGUUUAUGUCACAGGCUCAUCCUGUAUGUGUGAAAUGCUGGAUGCAAAUAGCGCGGUUUAGAAGCCGGGUGCUGUUGGGGCACACGCUGAGCGAGGAGGAGCAGGGUUUGACACUCAAGUUCCAGGCAGCAGACCAUGGCUGGACGGGAUUCAUGGAAGAACACAGACAAGAGUGCUAUUUAAAAUCCAAAUCUGAUUCUGGAAGGCAUUUCCCACCUUUAUGAUGAGCUCAGGCACUUGAAAAUAGCCACACCGUAAAGCGUGGAGAUUGCAAACCUGAACUGCGUGUGAAGGAAAACCAACACCCUGUGUCCUUCCUGCCUGUUUGAAUACUGCCACCGCCCUAUAAACCUGUUAACAACCAAAAACCCAUGCAGAAAUCACACAGGUUUGGUUACUAAUGCUUGGCAAACAGCAUGGCCUGAGGAUCAACGUCACGGUCGGAUCUCCAGGCAACAGCUUCUCCUCGCCUUGUACCAUCGCUCUCCCUGAAAAGAGAGGGAUAAAGAGUAUUAAUAAGGAGGCAGGCAGGCUGUGAAGACAGCACAGUGCUUGGGAAGAGGGUGCUGCUGCAUCUCCACUCGUAAAUCAGGAUCAUCAUCACACCAGGGGAGAGAAAGAGAACCCAGAGCAAAGGCAUCUGGUGUGAGUGAUGUCUCUGAGCCUGCUGGCGCUCUCCGUCUUCCCGGGGCGCUUGCCUCCGCUGAGCCGUGCCGCCUGCCAGCAGCCAUUAAUCCCAUCCUGUCCUGCCGGAGCGCUGAGCCUGGGCCAAGGCAGAUACUUCUUGUGUCUGACAGUUUGGGGUUGGGGGGUUUUUGUCUCUUUUUUAAUCCUUGUUGUAACGAGCAGGAGCCCAGAAACGCUCCAAGUGCUUUCUGCAGGCGCGGGUGUUGGUGAGGAGAAGACAAAGCCAGAGCAGCGUUCUCUUUGUGCAGCAUCGGUUGCCCCUUUUGGCUCUAAUACAUGUAUAAAGAGAGGAGUGACAUCUGGGGGAGCACAGGGACCUCCCUACAGCGCUGUCUCUCUGCAGAACCCAUUUUGGGUACAGCGCUUUUCCUGCAGGGGAAUUUGAGGGGGACACCAGUAGCAGACCUCCUGAACUCACCAGUUCUGAUUUCACCCAGGCUUGUUGAGACACAGAUGCUCUGAAUGUGGUGUGCUAAGAGUAAUCCUGCCUUAUGCAACUAAUCCUAUCUGUACUUUAUUCUUGUUUUUGGAUGGGAGGGGAAACACCAGAGGGGUUUUUAGCUCUUUGCUUGGGCAAAGCCAUCCUCACACUGGCAAUGGGACAGUAGAACCAUGGCCUGAAGACCCGUUUUGGGUGAUUUGUGCUACCAGGACACGGUGUGUCAGGGAGUAUUUUACAGACCUUUGCUCAGCAUUUAUGUCACAUUUUACCACAGCACAGUACUAGUGCUUACGUGAGUGAGAGCUUGCAUUUCUCAGCAGUAAAACCUCAUGGGUUUGUCUGAGUCUUUUGUUCCUCAAUGAAAAAGGGGGAACUUGAACCCUUGAUAACUGUAUAUUUUAGAAAUGUAUAAAUUUUAGUAAUAAAUGUGGCUCACAAGAGCAGA